rnacentral:rRNA from 1 species
CACUCCUACGGGAGGCAGCAGUGGGGAAUAUUGGACAAUGGGCGCAAGCCUGAUCCAGCCAUGCCGCGUGAGUGAUGAAGGCCCUAGGGUUGUAAAGCUCUUUCACCGGUGAAGAUAAUGACGGUAACCGGAGAAGAAGCCCCGGCUAACUUCGUGCCAGCAGCCGCGGUAAUACGAAGGGGGCUAGCGUUGUUCGGAUUUACUGGGCGUAAAGCGCACGUAGGCGGACUAUUAAGUCAGGGGUGGAAUCCCGGGGCUCAACCCCGGAACUGCCUUUGAUACUGGUAGUCUUGAGUUCGAGAGAGGUGAGUGGAAUUCCGAGUGUAGAGGUGAAAUUCGUAGAUAUUCGGAGGAACACCAGUGGCGAAGGCGGCUCACUGGCUCGAUACUGACGCUGAGGUGCGAAAGCGUGGGGAGCAAACAGGAUUAGAAACCCCUGUAGUCCCAUG